GAUGAGCCGAUGUCGGAUUAGCUAGUUGGCGGGGUAAAGGCCCACCAAGGCGACGAUCCGUAGCUGGUCUGAGAGGAUGAUCAGCCACACUGGGACUGAGACACGGCCCAGACUCCUACGGGAGGCAGCAGUGGGGAAUAUUGGACAAUGGGGGCAACCCUGAUGGAGCAACGCCGCGUGCAGGAGGAAGGUCUUCGGAUCGUAAACUGCUUUUCCCAGGGACGAGCAAGGACGGUACCUGGGGAACAAGCCCCGGCUAACUACGUGCCAGCAGCCGCGGUAAUACGUAGGGGACGAGCGUUGUCCGGAGUUACUGGGCGUAAAGCGCCCGCAGGCGGUGCGGCGCGUUUGCACUGACAGCGGCCAGCUUAACUGGGCGAGGCGUGCAAAGACGGCCGCACUUCGAGGGCCAGAGAGGGACAUGGAACUCCAGGUGUAGUGGUGAAAUGCGUAGAUAUCUGGAAG
rnacentral:rRNA from 1 species